GGCGGCAUGGCCGAGUGGUAAGGCGGGGGACUGCAAAUCCUUUUUCCCAGUUCAAUCCGGGUGUCGCCU
rnacentral:tRNA from 1 species